rnacentral:rRNA from 1 species
GGAGGAAAAGAAACUAACAAGGAUUCCCCUAGUAACUGCGAGUGAAGCGGGAAAAGCUCAAAUUUAAAAUCUGGUGGUCUUUGGCCAUCCGAGUUGUAAUCUAGAGAAGUGUUACCCGCGUCGGACCGUGUACAAGUCUCCUGGAAUGGAGCAUCAUAGAGGGUGAGAAUCCCGUCUUUGACAUGGAUUACCGAGGCUUUGUGGUGUGCUCUCAAAGAGUCGAGUUGUUUGGGAAUGCAGCUCAAAAUGGGUGGUAAAUUCCAUCUAAAGCUAAAUAUUGGCGAGAGACCGAUAGCGAACAAGUACCGUGAGGGAAAGAUGAAAAGAACUUUGGAAAGAGAGUUAAACAGUACGUGAAAUUGCUGAAAGGGAAACGCUUGAAGUCAGUUGCAUUAGCUGGAAAUCAGCCUAGCUUUUGCUGGGUGUACUUUCUGGUUGAUGGGCCAGCAUCAGUUUUGACCAGUGGAAAAAGUCUAGAGGAAUGUGGCAUCUUUGGAUGUGUUAUAGCCUCUGGUUGUAUACAUUGGUUGGGACUGAGGAACUCAGCACGCUGCAAAGCUGGGUCUUUUGACCACAUUCGUGCUUAGGAUGCUGGCAUAAUGGCUUUAAUCGACCCGUCUUGAAACACGGACCAAGGAGUCUAACAUGCCUGCGAGUGUUUGGGUGGAAAACCCGGACGCGCAAUGAAAGUGAAAGUUGAGAUCCUUGUCAUGAGGAGCAUCGAUGCCCGGACCAGAAGUUUUCUGACGGCCCUGCGGUGGAGCAUGUAUGUUGGGACCCGAAAGAUGGUGAACUAUGCCUGAAUAGGGUGAAGCCAGAGGAAACUCUGGUGGAGGCUCGUAGCGAUUCUGACGUGCAAAUCGAUCGUCAAAUUUGGGUAUAGGGGCGAAAGACUAAUCGAACCAUCUA